rnacentral:rRNA from 1 species
UUAGGAAUAUUCGUCAAUGGAGGAAACUCUGAACGAGCAAUGCCGCGUGAGUGAUGAAGGUCUUAUAGAUUGUAAAACUCUGUUGUAUGGAAAAAACGACUAGGUUAGGAAAUGAACUUAGUGUGAUGGUACCAUACCAGAAAGCCCCGGCUAACUACGUGCCAGCAGCCGCGGUAAUACGUAGGGGCGAGCGUUAUCCGGAUUUAUUGGGCGUAAAGCGUGUGUAGGCGGUUUGUUAAGUUUAAGAUUAAAGCCCGGGGCUCAACUCCGGUAAGUCUUAAAAACUGGCAGACUUGAGUACGGUAGAGGCAAACGGAAUUUCUAGUGUAGCGGUGAAAUGCGUAGAUAUUAGAAGGAACACCAGUGGCGAAAGCGGUUUGCUGGGCCGUUACUGACGCUGAGGCACGAAAGCGUGGGGAGCAAAUAGGAUUAGAUACCCUGGUA